GAACAGAAUCAGUGAGGGGAAGGAUGAAGAGAAGGAAGGUGGGUUUAUAAACCAUCUCAUUUCCAACUUGGUCUCUCCCUUGAGUCCCAGACCAAGGGAAGUUAAUGAAGGAAAAGUUGAAGUUGAAAAUGGGGAAAAAAGUAGUGAUGAUGGGGGAUGGUGGGAAAAAAAAGUAGUGAUGGAAGGCGGUGGUGGCAGUGCUGGUGGAGGAGGGCUCAUCAACAACCUCAUCUCCAAUAUUUUUAAUCAAAGUGAUGAAGAUGGAGUGCACAAAGAAGACAGUGAAGAGGAGAAAGCGCAUAUUGGGGAACAAAAUGAACAGGUG
rnacentral:lncRNA from 1 species